UGCUUCUUGGCCCAAGAAGUCACUGCAAAGCAGCAGGUGGACUGGGAGCAGAGCAUUCUCCCUUCACUCCCAAUUGCAGGUGAAGCACCCUGAGGCCUUCGACUUUGAUGCUUACUGUGAAAAAAGAAAGGAAGGGAGCCUCUGAAAAGAGACCUUGCAAGACUUUUAAGCAAAUGUCCUCGGAUGCACUCUGCCUAAGCUCAGAAGACACCAAAAAGCACAGCGUCAUCGCAUCCUCCCGCAUCCUCAUCUCCCUCGCUCCCAGACCCAGCCAGGUUGUCCGUGGCCUUAAAUGCUGGUUCUCCCUAUUACUGGGCUGCUGCGUUGAAAGCAAAAAACAAACAGAAGUCCCAAGUUCCACCGUGGUGGUUACCUCCUCCCCGCCGCAAGUAUUUACUCACUUAACCUUAAGCUGCACUGGUAUCCACCAUGCUUGGCUUCCCAUGCAUAGGUGUUCGGAGCCCCUCAGUAUGCAUCUCUGUGACAGCCAAAGCUCCUCCACUGAUGUGCUGUGCCACGCGUUCACUUUCCUUCAUCUUCAUUAUCCUAAAGCAAGGCCCGGCCCAGCCCCAGCCAGCGAUGGAGAGGAGAAAGGGAUGAAAUGUUUGGUGAGACACAGGGUGAUGUUCAUGAGAGUGUUGGAAUUAAAGGGUACCAGACGUGCAUCAGGUGACCUGAUUCCAAAUGAGAAGACUGGGGGACAUGAAAUCAGACACUCUUCUGUUCCAAUUGAUGCCCACUCUUGCAGUAGCAGUGAGUAGAAACUGAACUCACACACAUGGAGCACCAAGCACACUGACUGGCACUUGGGAACAACCACAGCACAAGUGGAAACCAGCACUGAUUGAGCAAGAAGUGCUUUGGGGGAAAGGAGACUUGCUAUGCGACUUCACCAACUGUGACUUGGGCCGGAGCCCUGUGGCCUCGUCUGUCAGCUAAAUCUAACAACACCCAUGCUGUUUACUCAUGGGCUGCCGGGCAAGGCAAUACUUCUGUGGAGGUGCCCUGUAAACGGUACACCUCAAAACAAAAGACAGCCUGGGCAAGUCAGUCCCCUACCUGCCAAGCUUGCUUUGCUGAAUUGGAAAUCUUACGAGGCCACAGAAUUGGAAGUAUUGAGAAGCACUGAGGUAGAAUAACGAUGAUCCGAUUACUUGUAUUUAAUCAUAAUGCCUUAAACCAAUUUGUAUUGAAAACCUCUAAAUAAAGACAAAUCAAAGCA
rnacentral:lncRNA from 1 species